AUGAAAAAUAUGGAGACUUCAAGAAAUUCUUCUAUGAAAUUGACAUUCUUGUUGGCAUUUUUAAUCAUUGCAUCAGAUAUGCAUAUGGAAUCACAAGCCAUGAGAGUGACCGAGUUAGACUCAAGCUGUAACACACCUCAAGAUUGCAUCAGACAAAAAUUUCCCUGUCCAUCCCCACUUAUUGUCGUAUGUGUUGCCCACCAUUGUUCAUGUACACACCUUCAUCGAACAUCUUCAAUUGCAAUAUAA